CAACUUUCAGCAGYGGAUGUCUAGGCUCGCACAUCGAUGAAGAACGCUGCGAACUGCGAUACGUAAUGCGAAUUGCAGGAUUCAGUGAGUCAUCGAAAUUUUGAACGCAUAUUGCRCUUUCGGGUKGUGCCUGGAAGUAUGUCUGUAUCAGUGUCCGUA
rnacentral:rRNA from 1 species